ACAACAUAAAAUUAACCAUUUUAAUGCAAGUAAUUUACUGGUGUUUAGUACAUUCACAGUGUUGUGCAAAAGCCAGUUCUACCUAGUUUCAAAAUAUUUCCAUUAACCCCAACACAAACUUGUGCAGAUUAAGCACUUGCUCUCAAACACCUGAUAAACACUACUUUCUGUUAUAUCUCCAUCGAUUUUGCUUAUUCUACUUCCAUUUUAUUUUUAAUUCUUUUUUAAUUGCUAAGUUUUCACUGAUUUCUUUACCCUUCAUGAUUUAAUAUAUACAUUUUACAAUUAGAAUAAUUUAUCUUUUAUCAGAAUACAUCCUCAAGGAACUUUCUACAGAAAGAACUUUGUAGAUGAUGAGCUCGGUGAACCUGUGUACUCCUGAAACGUGUAUGCUUGCUUUUUUUGGAGCAUACCCUUUUACAGCAUACUCUUGUCCUAAAUCUUGAGGAUUUCAUCAUCCAUGAGCAGCAAUCCAGUGAAAUAGAAAACAACAUAGUUGACAAUGAGAAAAGUAAGACGUGAAGAUCAACUUCCUCAACAGCUGGUAAAAAGGGAAACUGGACUUCAAAUCCGGGCAGUCUAGCGUCAGAUCCCAUGCUCUUAACUAUAAUGGCCGCAGAGUAUAUUCAAAAUAUGAGUUCUGCAGAGUAACAUGUUCCAGUUUCCAAGACUGAGGAGUCCACAGUUAGAUUCAUUGCCUGGUUCUGGCUUGGUUGAGAUGAGCCACUGACAACAUGACCAUGUAGAAGUUUCAUCAGCAGCAGAAUGGCAGUGUCUGCCCUUAUAAAGUCAACACUGGAUACACACAGAAAGAUUAAAAUGGCAGAGUACAGGCCAGCAGCAAAGUACAGCCUCUCUGGGACCUGGAAUUGAGACAUCUGCAAAGCAGCAACUUAGGAAAAAGAAAAAAAAUAGCACUUCAGGAAUCAAGUAAGAGCCAACAGGACAGCUAGAAACCACAAAGAAGCUAGAGAAACUGAGGACAAAACAGAGAAAAGAACUAACCAGUUUGGAAAGCUAACUCUGGCUCCUGGGAAGGUAAGCACAAACACAAGCCUAGAGAGGGUCAGCAGCCCCUAGUAGAAACAAUAGAUCACAAAAGCCCAUAGUCACCAUAAGCCUCAAAUGCAGCUAUUAACAAGUAACUCCUGUUACCCAGUUUUGGGGUAUUGGAGGCUCCUUCUAGAGGUGGUUUCUAGGUUCUUUCUGUCCUGCACAAAGAGUUGGUCAAGAAAAGUGCAAAGCCAGUGCCAUCAUGUACAGUUUUUAGUGUGGGCUGAGUCUGAAAGUGCUGCCAUGAAGUCCAGCAGACUGCUUGGCCCUCCUUGCCCCCUACUUAUAGCACAGAGUUAGUGUUCUGUUUGCUUUCCCUGUCUGCCAACAUGAUAGGGAUAUCCUCUGGCCUGGACAGUUGUCAAAUUCUGGGGUAUACGGACAGAGGGACCUCUGUAGUAUGGAAUAUACUUCAUGAGCCCACAGGCCACUUGGGGUGCACAGAAGGGCACAAACACUAAGAGCUGCUGGAGUGAACAGAGCUGUAAAGCAGACAUUAUACCUAGUGGGAAAGACAGGGAGAUCUCAGCAAUCACAGCCGAAAGCAGAUGUGGAAAUGAAACAGGCUCUAGUUAUGACUUACUAUCCCACCCCUAAACCUACUGGGUUCCAAUAAAACACUCUGGAAAGACAUCAUUCAGCCAAAGGCAAAGAGGAAAAUUGGGACUCAUUUCUCUUUUUAUUUUG